rnacentral:rRNA from 1 species
GCGGCGUGCUUAACACAUGCAAGUCGAACGAACCUUCGGGUUAGUGGCGGACGGGUGAGUAACGCGUGAGAAUCUGCCCUCAGGAGGGGGAUAACAGCUGGAAACGGCUGCUAAUACCCCAUAUGCCGCGAGGUGAAAUGAAUUUCGCCUGAGGAUGAGCUCGCGUCUGAUUAGCUAGUUGGUGUGGGUAAUGGCUCACCAAGGCAUCGAUCAGUAGCUGGUCUGAGAGGAUGAUCAGCCACACUGGGACUGAGACACGGCCCAGACUCCUACGGGAGGCAGCAGUGGGGAAUUUUCCGCAAUGGGCGAAAGCCUGACGGAGCAACGCCGCGUGAGGGAUGAAGGCCUCUGGGCUGUAAACCUCUUUUAUCAAGGAAGAAGAUCUGACGGUACUUGAUGAAUAAGCCACGGC